rnacentral:snoRNA from 1 species
GUCUUUUUGUAGCUCAUGAGCACGAUGAUUGGGUGUUCACACGCUUGUGUGACACCUGCCUCCCUCAAAUCUUGUUAUGACAUUGGCAUAUUACCAUCUGAUG